GACGAACCGUGCGAACGUUGUUCGGAAUUACUGGGCGUAAAGGGCGCGUAGGCGGCCUGCUAAGUCGGAUGUGAAAUCCCUCGGCUCAACCGAGGAACUGCAUCCGAUACUGGCGGGCUUGAAUCCGGGAGAGGGAUGUGGAAUUCCAGGUGUAGCGGUGAAAUGCGUAGAUAUCUGGAGGAACACCGGUGGCGAAGGCGGCAUCCUGGACCGGUAUUGACGCUGAGGCGCGAAAGCUAGGGGAGCAAACGGG
rnacentral:rRNA from 1 species